CUCUUGGAGAAGAAGGUUAUCAUCAGUAGGGAUAUCACCUUUGAUGAAAAUUCAGUUCUCCAAAGGCGAGAUGGCAUGGAGGAGCAGCAGGAGCUGCAGGAGGUCCAGCAGUGCAGCACUGGACCACUAACAUCCUAUUCUAUUUUGCCACUUGCAGGUGCAUCGAGAGGACUUGAUAUUCAGGUGGGGCACUCUCCAUAGGUAGAGAGAGCUCGGAUAGUUGAAAGAAGUCAGGAGAUUCAGUAAAAGCAAACUAGACCUAGGACGAAUAUCGGGAUUGCACUGCACAAGCCCAAAAAGAACGUCAGGCAACCAGAACGAUAUGGC
rnacentral:lncRNA from 1 species